AGCUUGCUUUUAAAAACUCAGCGGCGGAGGGAGAGAGCCGUGGGCAACCUGCCCUGUAGACUGGGAUAACUUCGGRAAACCGAAGCUAAUACCGGAUAAUCAUAGAAGUUGCAUAGCUUCUAUGUAAAAGUUGGGUUUACCUAACACUACAGGAUGGGCCCGCGUCGCAUUAGCUAGUUGGUAAGGUAACGGCUUACCAAGGCGACGAUGCGUAGCCGACCUGAGAGGGUGAUCGGCCACACUGGGACUGAGACACGGCCCAGACUCCUACGGGAGGCAGCAGUAGGGAAUCUUCCGCAAUGGACGAAAGUCUGACGGAGCAACGCCGCGUGAGCGAUGAAGGCCUUCGGGUCGUAAAGCUCUGUUGUUAGGGAAGAAUAAGUGCUAUUCGAAUAGGGUGGCACCUUGACGGUACCUAACGAGAAAGCCACGGCUAACUACGUGCCAGCAGCCGCGGUAAUACGUAGGUGGCAAGCGUUGUCCGGAAUUAUUGGGCGUAAAGCGCGCGCAGGCGGUCUCUUAAGUCUGAUGUGAAAGCCCACGGCUCAACCGUGGAGGGUCAUUGGAAACUGGGAGACUUGAGUACAGAAGAGGAGAGUGGAAUUCCAUGUGUAGCGGUGAAAUGCGUAGAUAUAUGGAGGAACACCAGUGGCGAAGGCGACUCUCUGGUCUGUAACUGACGCUGAGGCUCGAAAGCGUGGGGAGCGAACAGGAUUAGAUACCCUGGUAGUCCACGCCGUAAACGAUGAGUGCUAA
rnacentral:rRNA from 1 species